UGUCACAAUUACUUUUAGCAUUUAUUCGCAAUAAUAAUAGCAAUAAUGAUAUAAUAAUAAUCAAUAAUGUAAUAAUUGUGUUGUGUGUAUAUAAUAGUUUUUUUCACUUGUUUAUCAAUAUAUUAUUCUUAUGCAAGUAUGUUAUUCAUUACAGUAUGCUUUUCUGUGUGUGUUUUGUGUAUUUUUCUGGUUAUUGUUAGCAAAUAUCGUGUAUUGUUUGAGUGUGUGUGUGUGUAUGAUUUCUGGUUUCAAAAAUUGCAUCCCACAUUUCCAUGCUGCACAUUCCUACCGCUUUACUACGAGUUACGGAAGUAAAAACUGUUUUUUUUUUAUUCUGAAAUGUGUACAAGUUUCCACUUUGCGUUUUUGUAAAACACAUCUUUUCCUUCUACGCACACCACACGCAUACACGGACAUUUAAAUAUAUAUAUUGUUGUUAUGUCUCUCUGGGGCUAAUCAUACUUUGCGAUUCUUUUGUUUUACUUUCUUCUCCUUACGUGCCUGUGUGUGUUUUUUGCAUUGUCACAGUUAAAUUGUGACCAUAAUACAAAGGUUUGAUCUCUUUUCGGUUGUUCAACACUUACUUACUAUUAAAGUUAUAUUACAAUAUUCUUCUCUUUUAUUUUAUUCUGCAUUCGCACUUUUUCGUUUCCUCUUAGCUUUGCAUCGACUCCCGUUCGUUUUAAAGUUAUUAUUAGUGUUUGCUUGCUUACCAUCUAUAUUUUCUCUCUUACGUGAUCUAUGUUUUUGUUUAUGAAAAACGGUAAAAACUAAAUAUUAUAGAGAUAGUUUUAAAAAACCUGCUGCUGCUCGCUCGUUCAAACUCUUUUUCCUCUUGCACGCUAUAAAUCUCUAUUUUGUUUUACUUUGCUCAUCCAUUCUUCACAUGUACACUUUCGAUUCUUUGCAUACACUUAAAAGUUACGUUUCUCUUUCUACAACUCUACGCAAAUAAUAUAUAUUUUUAAUUCUGUAUCGGUCACUAUGCUCUGUAUGUGUGUGUGUGUGUUUUUUUUUCAUAUUAUUCUUGCACAAUAAAUCAUCCACUGUUUGCACUUUCAAACUUAUGCACUUGAGAUGAGUUUGGUCAAAGUUACGCGGAGACCCUUUGAGGGCUCAAGCAGCUUUGCACUUUUUUUGUUUAAAUUCUUAAUUUAAAUGUGUUGUGAGAUGAAAUCUGGAUGCAUGUUCUUACUUUUUUCAUUGUUCUCCUUCUUAUUUAUAAGUGCUAGUAGAGAAGGUCAAUGAAUUCAAUAUAUAUGAUGAGUGAGUGUUGGUUCGUGACAAAACAAUCUCGAGCAUUUGUGUGGAUGUUACUGUAUAUGAUUAUAUAAUUAUUUGAUGUAAAAAGGGAUAGUACGGGUGAUUUGUUUGUUUUUUUGUUAACAAAAAUGGCUUCUCGUCGUUCAGAGACACGGAUUUGCGGGACAGCAUCGACGCUUGUAUAUUUGAAAUUGCUGGGAAGUAAAAUUUAGAAUAAUCUAGAAGUUGUUUCUUUAUUUCAAUUAAAGCCGCUGCAGCGACCUCAAAUUUAAAUCAUUAAAUUUGUCCAUUUAUCGAUCCUCACCACAGUUCUGACCAUGCGCGCUUACGCAAGCAUAAAUAAUUUUACCCGUCGACUCGCGUUGCGCGACAAAUAAUUAAGCUUAUGUACAGGUGUGGAUCAUGAGUCAUCCUCACCUGAAAAGCCCUUUAUUAAAUUUCGCCAAUUGUUAGGCAAUCAAAAAAAUGGUUAAGCUUUCAAUUAUGAAUGUGCGAUGUUAUUACACAGGGGAAAUUGAGGGUGUGGCUUAACCAAAUUCAUUGGCAUGUUUGUUCAAUGGAGAAUUCGACCUUCUCAUUAUUGACCAACAUUUUUGAGAAUGUUUUGGGAACAUAAUUUUGAUAUUCCAAUAACAUAAUUUAAAGUUUCACGACAAUGGUUCGAACCCAUGACUUCCGAUUUUGAGGUGUACUCACUACACCAUACGGAAAGUCAUGAAGAAUUGCAGAGGUCUGCAUAAUUUAAUUCAUGAGGUUCAUCGAUGCUUCUCAUCGAAACUGACCAUUUUUGUUAGAACAAAGUUUCGGGGACUGACUAUAAAAAACCCAAAAUUCUUGAGGAGGGCAAUUAGUUCCAGUUAGUUCCAGUUAGUUCCAGUCAGUUCCUGCCAGUUCAAGCCCAGUCCAGUUCCAGAUCCUGAAGAAGCCCCAGACCAGCCGGACCCGCCAGCAGCCACCAGUAGCAGAGGCCCCAGUCCAGCCGGACUUAGCGGUGGAGGCCGCAGUCCGCCGGGACUUAGCCGCUGUGAAGAGUCCGCCGGGACUUAGCCGCUGUGAAGAGUCCGCCGGGACUUAGCCGCUGUGAAGAGUCCGCCGGGACUUAGCCGCUGGGAAGAGUCCGCCGGGACUUAGCCGCCGUGGAGUCAACCAGGGACGUAGCAGAGUUCGGGUCUGGCAUGGCUCGGCGAAGAGGUCUGGAGGACAAGUCUGGCUUCAACGUAGAGAACUGGUUCGACGAAGAUCUCAAUGCAAAGUGAUGUGAUCGUGCGCGUAAAAGUUGAAAGUGUUACCGCAAAAAUGUAAUCUUCAAAAAGUGUAAUAUACAGAUAAGUGAAGUUUACUGAUCUGUUUUGACUCUACGAGUAAAUAUCACAAAAAUCCUGAAAGCCUAAACCGCUCGGGCUGUUCAGGUGGUGACUAGCGGAAAGCAACGCUGUGUGUGUUUGGACACGCCAUUAUGAUUGGACAAAACCGAGAGUUGAAAAUGUGACUAUGUGUGAAAGUUAAUGAACAAAAUGAUGUCGCGAAGUAACAAACAGUUAAAAUAGUGUAAAAAUAAAAAAAAACGUUAAAUUGAAGAAAAUGUUAUGUGAGGAGUUCUAAGAUGGAAGCAAAUGUGCAGCAUCACGAGAUGGAACCAAAACGGGCUCGACCAAUGGCAGAAGCAUCGAAAAUUUCAAAACCGGCCAACGAUGGACAACACUAGGGAUUCAACAAUGACGAGAUCAUCUGGAUCAACUGGAGACGAAAUUCAGCCGCAUCGAACACCCAAGAAGACGACCAUGGAAAUCUGGCAGUUUAGGGAAACCAUUGGAAGACGAUCAAGAAGACAACAAUAUCAGCAAGGACGCUUGCAAGGACGAAUAUGGAACUCAGCUCAAGGAAGGGUAAAAUUUGUGAGUAUAUCGUGGGGAAUCUAAAAAGAUCGAAAAGGACGGUAAAAGUUCCGAUCUAGGGAUACAUAAACUGAUAAAGCAACGCCAAAGGGAUUAAAAAAGUAGACAAUUGUACUCUAUGGGGAGAGUUUUAUGUCGAAUAAAGCUUCAAACAGUUGUAAUCCAUGGGGGGAUUCAAUAAGUUAAAAACAUUUCAAAACAUUUGCACUUUACGGGGAUAGUCAAAUGAAAAUUAAAGGGAAUGGAUAAAUAACGCUUCAAGGGGAAAAUCAAGGGAUAAAAUAAUGCUUCAAGGGAAAAACACCUUUAAACUGAUAAAAUUCAGAGGAAAAAAUCAGAUCGUUAUCAUUAGAAUGAUAAUUGAACCAACUAAUUAUCUUGCAAAUUCAGCAUUUAUUGCGAAUUGCUCAAAUAAACAAAUUAAUUUAAUGGGUUUGACAAAUUUGAAAACACAAAGUGAUGUACAGAUUUCAUAAAAAGUUGGAAGAACAGAAUGGAUAUUUUAACAUACGCAGUAUUGCAAUGACAAGAUGAUAGGAUGUAUAGAUCAAUGAAAAACUUUAUAGAGUAAUUUUUUUUUUAUUCAAGUAUAAAAAUAAUAGUCAAUUAGAACUGAUUUCUUUUUGUAUUAAAAAUAAUAGAACUGAUUUCAUAUAAAAAUAUCAACAAGAUUUAUAAAAUUGUAAGUAAACUUUAAUUUCAAUUUUGCACAUAAAUUAAAUGAUAGAUUCCUGAAAAUUAUAAAAUAGUAUUCAUGCGAAGAAAACAAGUAAGAAAUUUGUGUGGGAGAAACAAAACUAAAAAACUGAAGUAUGGCAGAGACACAAGGAUGAUCGACGCGUUCGUAUGCUGAGAAGUUCUACGCGUUCGUAUGCAGAAGUUUGUGAUGGCAAGAUGGUGAGUGGCAAAGUCAUGCGGGAGGUUGGACAGGUAACGGUGUUGAUGUAGUUGUAAAAGGUCAUAUCAAUGAGGAUCAAGUCGAAUAAAGACACAAUUCUAGUAACGAGACAUUCACGUAAAACAAAUUACCAAUCGAAAUGAGGAAUUAUGCGAAGUAAAGAUGAUUGAAAUGCGAAACAUCAAUUAUGGAACAAAAAUGCAAGUUGAGAUCAUACUGCACGUCUGAAACUAUUGAAAAGGAGAAGUUCAAGAUAAACAAAUGAUAACAUCAUCCGAUGUCAUUAAUUCACAAAAACCAAAGUUGCAAAUUACACGAAAAGACAAUUUUGGACAAACAACAUUUCCUAAACAUUUGAAAAACGAAUUACAUCAACCGAUGUCAAUAUUUUGAGAUUGUCAAAGAUACAAAGCAACUGGAAAAGUCAAUUGAAAAAAAAAAAAAAAUACUGGAUUUACAAACAAUUCACAAUACUCAGCAAGUGAAAAGUCAAUGCACUCUCAAAAUUGACCACAGUCAACUCACAGUUGAGUUAUGAAGCAUAAUUCAUGAUGGAAACGACAAUUGCACUAAUCGGCGAAAUUCAACACCUUAGCCUCGAAAACUGACCAAUUGACCAAGUCACUGUGGAAUGAAUAGCCUCACGAUAGAGACGAUUUUUGAUGGAAGACGACAACGAUAACAACCAGCCGAUCAACAAAGUUCUACAACAACAACAAAUUUUGCUUACAGUGAAAAAAAUGCAAUGAUUUUUUUUAGAAGAGAUAAUGAAAAUUAAUUUCAAAUGCAAGUUUAUGUAAAUCAGUUUCAACGAAAAUAAUUUUACAAGAGAAGUUCAAAACAGUAAAUCAAGUAAUUUAACAGGACCAAAGAUCAAAAGAGUAAUGAAAAUAAUUUUACAGUAGAAAAAUCAAAAGAGCAAUUAUAAUUAUAAAGCAAUUUUCAAGAAACCACAAGAAGAACAAAUUGUAAACCGCACGAUCACUACACCCGACAAUAUUCUUUCCAUAGAUGAUCAUUUCUUUCAGACGAUCAUCUAGCUGAUAAGUGUGGGGGAGAUUAACCGAACCAAUUUUUUUAAAUAAUUUUUUUUAUAGCCAGCCAAUUAUAUUUUUUAUGAUUUUUUGCAAAGUUUUUUUUUUCACAAAUCAAAUUAUUAGUUUUGGGAAUAUUCUUCCAACCUACAAAUAACUUUCGAUAGAUGUUCUUAAUGCUUUUCAAGUAUACAAACAUCUAGCUGGUAAGUGUGGGGGAAUGCAGCGACCUCAAAUUUAAAUCAUUAAAUUUGUCCAUUUAUCGAUCCUCACCACAGUUCUGACCAUGCGCGCUUACGCAAGCAUAAAUAAUUUUACCCGUCGACUCGCGUUGCGCGACAAAUAAUUAAGCUUAUGUACAGGUGUGGAUCAUGAGUCAUCCUCACCUGAAAAGCCCUUUAUUAAAUUUCGCCAAUUGUUAGGCAAUCAAAAAAAUGGUUAAGCUUUCAAUUAUGAAUGUGCGAUGUUAUUACACAGGGGAAAUUGAGGGUGUGGCUUAACCAAAUUCAUUGGCAUGUUUGUUCAAUGGAGAAUUCGACCUUCUCAUUAUUGACCAACAUUUUUGAGAAUGUUUUGGGAACAUAAUUUUGAUAUUCCAAUAACAUAAUUUAAAGUUUCACGACAAUGGUUCGAACCCAUGACUUCCGAUUUUGAGGUGUACUCACUACACCAUACGGAAAGUCAUGAAGAAUUGCAGAGGUCUGCAUAAUUUAAUUCAUGAGGUUCAUCGAUGCUUCUCAUCGAAACUGACCAUUUUUGUUAGAACAAAGUUUCGGGGACUGACUAUAAAAACCCCAAAAUUCUUGAGGAGGGCAAUUAGUUCCAGUUAGUUCCAGUUAGUUCCAGUCAGUUCCUGCCAGUUCAAGCCCAGUCCAGUUCCAGAUCCUGAAGAAGCCCCAGACCAGCCGGACCCGCCAGCAGCCACCAGUAGCAGAGGCCCCAGUCCAGCCGGACUUAGCGGUGGAGGCCGCAGUCCGCCGGGACUUAGCCGCUGUGAAGAGUCCGCCGGGACUUAGCCGCUGUGAAGAGUCCGCCGGGACUUAGCCGCUGUGAAGAGUCCGCCGGGACUUAGCCGCUGGGAAGAGUCCGCCGGGACUUAGCCGCCGUGGAGUCAACCAGGGACGUAGCAGAGUUCGGGUCUGGCAUGGCUCGGCGAAGAGGUCUGGAGGACAAGUCUGGCUUCAACGUAGAGAACUGGUUCGACGAAGAUCUCAAUGCAAAGUGAUGUGAUCGUGCGCGUAAAAGUUGAAAGUGUUACCGCAAAAAUGUAAUCUUCAAAAAGUGUAAUAUACAGAUAAGUGAAGUUUA